UUUAGAAUAUGAUGAGAGUGUCAGAGAUCUGCUCUCUGUCCUGCACUCGGUCUCUGGUCUGAAGGAAUUGGAUCUUGUCUUCAGAUUCAUGACUGUGGAUGGAGCAUCCAGAGUCCUUAACCUCUUUCAGACAAACACCAGUCUGACUGCAUUAGAUUUUGGGGCAGUCGAGCGGCCUGAGAUAAGUAAGGCGAACUUCAAGAAGGACCACAGGAAUGAAUUCUUCAGGUCUCAGUCUGCAGGACAGAUGUCAGAUGACAGUGAUGAAGAUGGCAUGUCCUCACCUCUCAGUGACUGCAGCGAUGAAAUCAACCAAAGUGAUUCUUAUGAACUGGACAGCGUGGAGCGUAUUGUCUGCUCAGAUCUCAGGAUGUGGAGGAGAUUAUCAGGGCAAUGCAGCUUGUUUUUGAAGUGCACCAGCUCCAGUCCCAGGACAAAGUCACUGUUCUCAAGCAUAGAGCUCACCCUGUCUGAAAACUCAGAAAAAACUAGCAGUGACUGGAAAAACUUUCUUAAAGCAUAUAUUCAAUGCAAAGGGAUCUCUAUAAUAAGUCCUACAUUUGACGAGACUGUGGAUGCUCUGCUGUUGUCCCUGCACUCAGUGUCUGCUGUGAACAAGGUGCAAUUGACGACCGACAGCCUGACUGAGAACUUGGCUGCAAAGAUCCUCUCUAUGUGUCACACGUGUCCCAGUCUCCAUAACAUCUGUUUGCAGGUGGAGUACAGUAAGAGAUACAGUGAGCUCAAUGUGUGUUCCUCUCUCAGCGUCACCAGAAACACAGACUCCACCUUGACAGUCGACAUUCAGUUGGCCCGUGACAGCAUGACUGAAAUAACUCCAUCAUUCAUUUCAUUCAUAUCACCAUGUUCAGAGAUUCCUAAACUGGAUGGAAGGGAACUCUUUGAAACUCUUGACAUCCUUAAAGGUUUAGAAGAAGGAUGUGAAGAGCAUGAAGAGCUUGUGGGUGAUUUGAUGUCCACCUUGCUCUCCGUUCCUGGUCUGCAGAAGGUCAGACUCAAGAUCAGCAGUCUAACAGAGAACUGGGUGAAGAGGAGUCUGUCGUUAACUGAAGUCUGUCCCAGUCUUCAGGAGAUCAGAUAUGACUGCAUAGAAAGUGGUGGCUUGUUGUUUGAGGAGGUAGAAAAUAUUCUGCUGAGCUCUCAGAUGGAUUCAGAUUGCAGGAUAAUUAUCACAGGGUCUGUCCUAUAAAAUUAUUUAACCAUU
rnacentral:lncRNA from 1 species